AAGGACGGAGCAUUCCGAAAGGGUGGCCCAUUUGAUCUUGACGUUUCUGGAGCGUCCGUGACCGCUUCUAGCGCUUCUUCGUAUUCAGAUCGACGUCGGCAACGUGAACUUUCCACCCAUUUGCGACGGAUGGGAACCGGACAAAU
rnacentral:sRNA from 1 species